CUGAAACUAAACUUGAUCAAAUCUCCAAGUGACCUUUUUUCUGGAAAUGCUAUUUUAGCCUCAAGUUUUCAAUUUUCCAAAAAUUCUGGUUUAAUGUAUAUAUCCCAGGUUCUGAUUUGUCCCAGCUGUUAAUACUCACUACAGCGGUGCCAAUCAGCAGGACAAUAUCAUGAGAAUUUAUUCUAUUUUAAAAUAGAAAGGUUUACUGGAAGCCUAUUUAAGCAUGAAGUGGGACUGCCGUAAGGUGAAAAGAGAUUUGGAUUUGUGCAUUUUGUUUAUUCAGCUGGUAACAUAUUGAAAUAACAGAAGCAUCGACAGCUAGUCCAAACACUAACCAGGCAUUGUCACUCAUACAAACCCCACGCUCUGGGCUCGCAUACUAAAGGUGGUUUCUUCACCAAUUCUAAAUUGUUUUAUGAAAAACAGAAUUGCAGCAUUUUGCAAAAAACACUGAUUUAGAAAAUUCUUCAAUUUAUCGGCUUCAGCACAGUUUGGUUAUUUAAGUUUAAAAAUAUUUGUUCAAAAAAACCCCGGAUAGCCCGAGCCGUGCUAUAUAACCCCAAGUGGAGGGGGGGGGACUGGGAUUACCUCACCUCUACCAUUAUUAUGUAGCAGCACAGAUAGCACAAAUAGCAUACUGGCAUAGCCCCACUGGCCAACACCAAUGGGUAGACAUAGAAACAUUACUGAUAGGCGACGACUCCCCGCAACUCCUAAUAUGGUCACCUAAAGCACAAAGGGUACUCCCCAGAACCACUUGCCCAGCAAUCCUAAACUCCAUAGAAAUAUGGGACAAAAUAGCCCUAAAACACUACCUCAUGAACAACCCCUUCCCCAUGGCAGCGGUAUUCCGCAAUAGAGCGUUCCCACCGGGGUUAAGUAACACGGCCUUUACAGGUAUAGAGGCCAAGGCCACAGGGACACGGAGAUACAUCCAUCUAUACCACGACAAGCAGUUAAUAACAUACUACUACCUAAAGACCCUAGCACCCCUAACGACCCGAGACUUUUUCCGCUAUCUACAACUCCGGGAUUUCGCCCAAACCAUGGAAGUUAGGACAGCACUCUCCAGACAAAUGACCUUUUUCGAACGCAUAUGCCUUAACGAACACAUACCCACAAAAAACUGAUUACUACCAUGUACAGCCACAUUGGAGGAGAGUCCGGGGAAUGGGGCACAUUAGCUUACACAGACAGAUGGGAAGCUGACCUGGGGGAGAGGUUGGAUGGGGAAGACUGGCGGGACAUAUGGGACGCAUGUUCCAAGGUAUCUAUCUGCACUGCACUACAGGAACAAACAUACAAGACCCUAUUCCGGUGGUACACCACCCCGGUUAAACAAUACCACAUGGGACUAAGCCCCACGGAUACUUGUUGGUGACUAUGAGGGGAAAAAGGCUCAUACAUCCACAUGUGGUGGCAAUGUCCCAAGGCAAAAGCAUACUGGACAGAGGUGACAGACAUGAACUCCCGUAUACUACAAAAAAGGCUAACAGCAGAACCAUGGUCAUGCCUCCUCUUCAGACCGACAGACGGACUGGACAAAUAUGAUCAGAGACUUUUAAACAUGCUAAAUCUUGCAGCAAGAAGGGCUCUAGCGCAACACUGGAUAAAAUCCGGCACCCCACCCAUCACACUAGUGCAGGAAAAAAUUAGAGACAAUUGUCUGAUGGACAAAUUGACAGCUCAGGUCCGAGACACCACAACCACUUAUCAUAAAAACUGGGCACUAUGGGAGCAAUUUGACACAUAAUACCCGCCACCCCCCACCCCCCCAAAAAAGGGGACAAACGCCACAGAAAGCACCAAUUUCAGCCAGUCAAGAAAAACAGAUUACAGAGACCUGACCCGACCAGGGACUCAUGGAAACUCACCGACAAAGGAUAAUGUGACUCAGAAUGCAACUUACAUAUACUCGCACACAUAUUAGGUCAAAGCUCACUUGUAUCUAAGCUAGCAAGUUAUCUUAUUUCUGUGUAUAUAUAUAUAUAUAU
rnacentral:lncRNA from 1 species